UCUCUUCCUUCACCCAUUUCAUCUUCUUUGUCUCUCCAUUUUCUUCUCCAUUUUCCUUUUCAUUCUCUAGUCUUCUAGUUCUGCAUUUUCAAGUAAAGAGGAGAAGAAGAAGAAGCCGUGAGCAAUCCUAGCAGCCAUCGUUCCACCUUGUGCCGUGAUAAUGAAGCCUUGCUUUCAAGAUUCAAGAUCAACGUCUCAAGCUCUCCAUCAUCCACUCCAUUCACGAACUAUGAAUUCUGGUUAACAAAUAAUGUUAAGGGCAAAGUUUAAAGCCCGUUUAUAUGUUUUGAAAUAAAGUUGUGAUUUCUAUAUGUUGAUUUAUAUGUUACUUAUGUGAGAUUGAUCAAUUGAUUUUGUUUUAUGGAAAACUUUUAUAUGUUUUUGUUCUUUGGUGCGCAACUUAGAAUGAUUGCAUAUAAUUGGCGCUAGUAAUUAGGUUCAUGCUUUGUGACCCUAAUUCGAAUAAGUAGUAAAGGCUUUGGACAAAAGUCGAAAUCAAUUGGUUUGUGUUAUUGAAUAGACAUGCUUUGUGUACUAGGAUUAAUACAAUUAUUGACUAAACUUUCACUUGCUCUUAAUGAUUUGAAACUUGAGUUUGCAUGGUCGCUUUGAUUGUGUGAAACCUGUUUUCAAAAUAUAUUGGUUAGGUGCUUUGCUUGAUCAAUUGUGUAAAGGGAAGUAAAAUAAGGGACAUUGGUUGCUUUAAUCUUUGUUUCUUGGUUGAUAUAUUCUCGUCUCAUAGAUAACCAACUAUUAGAAUUGUGACCGCAUUUCUUUCAUAUGGAUGUAGUUUUGAUCUUUGUUCCUUGCGUUCCACCCUUGUAAAUGUGUUUUUACAUUCUCUUUAUUUUAUUUAGUUUAAUUUUCGAAACCAUAAUUCUUAAACCCCCCUUUUGUUUAGUUAUUUGUAUAUAUUUCUAUUCUUUAUUUUAUUUUUGUAAAUAAUACUUUAUUGUUUAAUUUCUUUAUUUUUUUACACAAUUAUAGGUGUACCCUCAAUCCCCGGCUAGAACGAUCUCUAUUUACCAUAUACUAACGAUGACAUUUUACAGGGUUAAAUUGCGUGCUGCUUU
rnacentral:lncRNA from 1 species